UACAGAGGUCUCAAGCGUUGUUCGGAAUCACUGGGCGUAAAGGGUGCGUAGGUGGCGGGGCAAGUCAGAUGUGAAAUCCGGAGGCUCAACCUCCGAAUUGCAUCCGAUACUCCCUCGCUAGAGGGUUGUAGGGGAGCUUGGAAUUCUCGGUGUAGCAGUGAAAUGCGUAGAUAUCGAGAAGAACGCGCGCAGCGAAGGCGAAGCUCUGGGCAACAUCUGACACUGAUGCACGAAGGCUAGGGGAGCAAACGGG
rnacentral:rRNA from 1 species